rnacentral:lncRNA from 13 species
UAAUCAUGCAUUGUUGGAUUUCACUUUGUUUCCGUCUUUGUGUUGUUUCAAAGUGUGUGACGGCACACGUCUCUUCAAAGGCUGAACGAGUGUGGGACAUCUCUGGGACAUUACAACAACGGCAAAAGUUCAGCUGACUACUACUUCUCUAUCUAUGCCUCCGUCGUCAACACUGGGCCAACGUUCAUUCUACAUUGUAAUAGAAACACUAGUUAGGAGGUCCCAGGCAGCAGACGGCCAGGGGGUGCCAGGCAGCAGACGGCCAGGGGGUGCCAGGCAGCAGACGGCCAGGGGGUGCCAGGCAGCAGACGGCCAGGGGGUGCCAGGCAGCAGACGGCCAGGGGGUGCCAGGCAGCAGACGGCCAGGGGGUGCCAGGCAGCAGACGGUUAA